CAUACAUCUUAUCUCGACCAAUAUAAUCAUGAUGUAGAGUGCACAUGAGCACGAUAUCAUAAAACUUGUCGUUUAUUUGCCAACUGGUUAUCGGCAAGUCGUCUUAGCUAAUAGCGGUAGACAAUCGAAAGCAUGUGUCAUGGAGGGAAUCAUGUCGAACAAUGAGCAAAGGACAUGUGUAGAACUGAUAAAAUUAUUAAGGUCACGUGUCUGCGGAUAAAGACGUCGAAGAAAGCAUGACAUCUUUUCUGAAGUCACUGACAAGAAAAUCCACCUCUUCAGCCGCAUGCUCAACAAGUAGUUCUUAAGGCGGCGCAGUACUGUAUUUUUACUAUGAUCGAACCAGCAGCACAAGCAAGACUUUUUCAAAAACUGGGUCAUUCUCGAGAUAGUUGUGAUAUCGUUAUUUCUUUUCUAAGGGAUUGGAUGACAACUAACGUUUUAUUAUUUGGUGCUUUUGCUGUCGUCAUUGUUGCUGUUGUAGUAGCAGUACUAGCAAAUAUAAUUGGUUCAUUUUGUUUUAUUCCGUCAUAAAAAUGACAGUUACAUACACAUUCCCGUUAAAAUCCAUGUCGGCUCGUUUUAAAUUAGUUCAUGGCGUUUUCAUAAUGUAAAAUACUGGUUUAUACCAUAUCUAAAGUAUGUCGUUAUAUAUGAUUAUUAAUCAUAUAAUGUAUGCCAUAUAAUAAUUGUUUUCUUUUAAUCGGAUGCAGGUUUUAUCAAUCGUGUAUCUAAAUAAACUUCGCUGGCUUGGAUCUAAAAUAUCAUGUAGACUUAACACUAUAUGUUAUGAAUAUGAACUGAUGCGCCAUUGUGUAGGUAAAAUCACUAUAUAUGCAUCUUUCAACCAAUCCAUGUUUAAUUAUCCAUUGGGUUCAUGCGUAGCUUAAAAACGCGAAAAAGAUCAUUUAU